AUUGAACGCUGGCGGCAGGCCUAACACAUGCACGUCGAGCGGAGCGGCGGACGGGUGAGUAAUGCCUAGGAAUCUGCCUGGUAGUGGGGGAUAACGUCCGGAAACGGGCGCUAAUACCGCAUCCUAUCAGAUGAGCCUCGGUCGGAUUAGCUAGUUGGUGGGGUAAAGGCCUACCAAGGCGACGAACAGUAACUGGUCUGAGAGGAUGAUCAGUCACACGGGAACUGAGACACGUUCCAGACUCCUACGGUAGGCAGCAGGGGGAAAUAUUGGACAAGGGGCGAAAGCCUGUUCCAGCCAUGCCGCGUGUGUGAAGAAGGUCGUCGGAUUGUAAAGCACUUUAAGUUGGGAGGCGUUACCAACAGAAUAAGCACCGGCUAACUUCGUGCCAGCAGCCGCGGUAAUUC
rnacentral:rRNA from 1 species